UGAGGGAUAUUGGGCAAUGGGGGAAACCCUGACCCAGCGACGCCGCGUGAGGGAAGACGGUCUUCGGAUUGUAAACCUCUGUCUUUGGGGACGAAGAAGGACGGUACCCAAGGAGGAAGCUCCGGCUAACUACGUGCCAGCAGCCGCGGUAAUACGUAGGGAGCGAGCGUUGUCCGGAAUUACUGGGUGUAAAGGGAGCGUAGGCGGGAUUGCAAGUUGGAUGUGAAAAACUGCGGGCUCAACCCGGAGAGUGCAUUCAAAACUGCCGGUCUUGAGUAGUGCAGAGGUAGGCGGAAUUCCCGGUGUAGCGGUGGAAUGCGUAGAUAUCGGGAGGAACACCAGUGGCGAAGGCGGCCUACUGGGCACCAACUGACGCUGAGGCUCGAAAGUAUGGGUAGCAAACAGGAUUAGAUACCC
rnacentral:rRNA from 1 species